rnacentral:rRNA from 1 species
CUUAAAGGAAUUGACGGGGACCCGCACAAGCGGUGGAUGAUGUGGAUUAAUUCGAUGCAACGCGAAAAACCUUACCUACCCUUGACAUGUCAGGAACUUUGCAGAGAUGCGAAGGUGCUCGAAAGAGAGCCUGAACACAGGUGCUGCAUGGCCGUCGUCAGCUCGUGUCGUGAGAUGUUGGGUUAAGUCCCGCAACGAGCGCAACCCUUGUCAUUAGUUGCCACGAAAGGGCACUCUAGUGAGACUGCCGGUGACAAGCCGGAGGAAGGUGGGGAUGACGUCAGGUCCUCAUGGCCCUUAUGGGUAGGGCUACACACGUCAUACAAUGGCCGGUACAGAGGGUUGCCAACCCGCGAGGGGGAGCCAAUCCCACAAAGCCGGUCGUAGUCCGGAUCGUAGUCUGCAACUCGACUACGUGAAGUCGGAAUCGCUAGUAAUCGCGGAUCAGCUUGCCGCGGUGAAUACGUUCCCGGGUCUUGUACACACCGCCCGUCACACCA